ACGGGAGGCAGCAGUGGGGAAUAUUGGGCAAUGGGCGAAAGCCUGACCUAGCAACGCCGCGUGAAGGAAGAAGGCCUUCGGGUUGUAAACUUCUUUUACCAGGGACGAAGGACGUGACGGUACCUGGAGAAAAAGCAACGGCUAACUACGUGCCAGCAGCCGCGGUAAUACGUAGGUUGCAAGCGUUGUCCGGAUUUACUGGGUGUAAAGGGCGUGUAGGCGGAGCUGCAAGUCAGAUGUGAAAUCCCGGGGCUCAACCCCGGAACUGCAUUUGAAACUGUAGCCCUUGAGUAUCGGAGAGGCAAGCGGAAUUCCUAGUGUAGCGGUGAAAUGCGUAGAUAUUGGGAGGAACACCAGUGGCGAAGGCGGCUUACUGGACCACAACUGACGCUGAGACACGAAAGCGUGGGGAGCAAACAGGAUUAGAUACCCUGGUA
rnacentral:rRNA from 1 species